GGUCGCGUGGCCAAAUGGUACGGCGUCUGACUACGACUGAGUAUCAUCAGGAGAUCGCGGGUUCGAUCCCCGUCGUGACCU
rnacentral:tRNA from 1 species